rnacentral:tRNA from 1 species
GCCUCACUCGUCCAGCGGCUAGGAUGUCUGCCUUCCAAGCAGAAGACUGGGGUUCGAGUCCCCUGUGAGGCUCCA